GGACGGUACAACGAGUCGCAAGACCGCGAGGUUUAGCAAAUCUCUUAAAGCCGUUCUCAGUUCGGAUUGUAGGCUGCAACUCGCCUACAUGAAGUCGGAAUCGCUAGUAAUCGCGGAUCAGCAUGCCGCGGUGAAUACGUUCCCGGGCCUUGUACACACCGCCCGUCACACCAUGAGAGUUUGUAACACCCAAAGCCGGUGGGGUAACCUUUUGGAGCCAGCCGUCUAAGGUGGGACAGAUGAUUGGGGUGAAGUCGUAACAAGGUAGC
rnacentral:rRNA from 1 species